GCACAUCUAGCUUAGUUGGUAGAGAGCAAGGUUUUUAACCUUGUGGUCAUGGGUUCAAGCCCCAUGAUGGAUG
rnacentral:tRNA from 1 species